UAAGUACUGCCUGUUGGUGUAGAGGUCCAAGCAGUACUUUGAUUGUAGCCGAGGGUAGUCACUGCCAUAUCCUGAAGGGGGUGGUACUUGUUAAAACCUAGAGGUGUGGAGAAGCACUUUGUAAAGCCUGUUACAGAGAUGGGGAGGGGGUUUGUGAUCUGCUCUGACGGCAGUGUUUCUUCAUGCUCUUCCCACAGUAAUGAUCGCCUCUCAGGAACAACUGAAUCUGGCCCAAAUCCCACUGGAUCAAAGGGAUUAUUGCGCUCAUCAUCUCAUGAAGUUUUUGAAGUGUAAGAGAGACAUGUGGCCAAACUUUUUGGCUUGCAAACACGAGCGACAUGAAUGGGACCUCUGCGAGCACCAAGAGUGAGUAUCUUUUAAAAAAUAUUGUUGGUGGAACAUGUUGGCAUUAUUAUAAAUAAUCAGAAUUGUAUUGUAAUUGCUUGUAAAAUGCAGGCUAAUUUGGAGAAUGUUUUCAGUUCAGCAAUAUUUUUUUUUAAACAUCAAUAAACUACAGGCAAAUAGUCACAAAAAUGAUUGUAAGGACAUUGUUCAUUUAAAGCCUGCGGAUUUUGCAUUGUCAUAACGUUUUGUUUAAAAGAUUUAACAUGGUUUAUCAAGAUAACAUAAAUAAGGAGGUCAGUACAAAAAAAGUACUUUCAUAGGUGUAACGAGUAUAGCAAAUAUUAAGUAUAUUUAUGGUUUUCUCUUGGGUAAUGGACCAAAGAAGUUAAACUAUUUUACUUCAAUUUUUCCAUUCUGAUUUAAAUGGACACCAUAAGCAUCCAAACAACUUUAGCUUAAUGAAGAUGGUUUGGUGUAUAGAUCAUUCCUCUGCAGUCUCACUGCUCAAUUAUCGCCAUUUAGGAGUUAAAUUGCUUUAGUUUCUGUUAUAGUGCCUUAAAUGUCUGUUUUUUUUUUUGUUUUUUUUCUUUAUUCUUUAUUUUCACUUUCUUUGCAUAAAGAGUAGUCAAAACACAUGCUUGUAGCCAUUACCAUAAGAACAAGUGGUAAUGUGGAUAACAAGGUAAUAAACACACAUGAUAAUUAUGACAAUUGCACUUUUUAAGUGGGCUAAGCAGUUGUAAGGGUCUGUCCAGCUUUAUGUACUGAAUCACUGAUAUGGGUUAGGUACUGGUGGCGUUGCUUGAGGUAGCAUAACCGUAGUGUACUUGGAGUGUUGCCUUCAGGUGAGUGUUUGCUUAAUAGAUCAGUCUAUUUCAGUAAGUGUAGUUUGGAGUCCUCUUGGGUAUUACGGUAUUUAGUGCGUUAUGGUCGCAUCAAGACAUAGCUGAGUUGGGUUCUGGGACCCUGGGUAUGGUCGCUUGUCAGACUAGUGUAGCCAUGGUUCGCUUUGGGCUAGGCUUGGACAUUUUUGUCAGUUGGUAGGUAUAUUUAAACAUUAAAAACAAGAAAAACAUAAACAGUGGUAUGCUUGUGUAGAAGCCUCCGCUUUCAGGUCACAAGGCCUUCAUCUGCUCAGUUGGUUAAUGGUGGCAUGUUAGCCAGAGUCCUUGGUCGGGUGCAGGGGGUUCCUUUGGUGUUGGCAGGGAGUCCCAAUAUAGUGAGCAAGGCUGGACACUCUCUUCCGGGUCUGAGAUCUU